UCUUGGCUGGGGAUGUGAGCUCUCAGCUGCUCCUGCAGCAGGAGCUGCUGCCGUCAUAGAUUCUAAUGCUCUGGAACCUAUGGUUUGUUGAAUACUCUUUUCCACCACUGAACCACAGAGGUGCCUUUGUCAAGAAUUGUUUACAGGGCUACAGAGAUGACUCCGUGGACAAGUACAGUGACACAAGCACAACGACCCAAGUUUGAAUCUCCUGCACCUACACAGGUCAUCCAUGGCUGCUCUUGGGGUCCGUCCAAACCACAGACCAUGCUACCAUGACGGAGGGAAGGAAUAGAUGGUGUAGGUGAGUAGCCACUGUCCUUGCAAUGUUCCUCUUGAGCAGCGACUUGUGAAGAAGUUUUGUACAUGGACCACAGAAACAUCUUACAUUGUGACACAUAUACAUACCUAAAACAAAAUUGUCACAAAACAUUACUUGCCACCUGCUAUUGGGAACACACUCUGAUGUUUUUGUACUCUUGGCUGCUACAGAAAGUAAUGACUUUUUAAAGGAUUCUAUUCUGAACUCCAUAACUCACAAGUGGGUCAUGACUUACAAUCUGAAUAUGCCUCCCUCCCAUCCCAUGUCGUCCGGGUAUCGAGCCAAGGGCACUGCACAUGCUGGGCAAGGUGGCCUCUCCCCCUAACACCAUCCUUUACCUCUGCAAAAGCUGCUUGCUGCUGAAA